UGUGCAUGUUUCACAUGAUGGUUUGGAGAGCAGGUAGUAUAUGGUGUGCAUGUUUCAGAUGAUGGUUUGGAGAGCAGGUAGUAUAUGGUGUGCAUGUUUCAGAUGAUGGUUUGGAGAGCAGGUAGUAUAUGGUGUGCAUGUUUCAGAUGAUGGUUUGGAGAGCAGGUAGUAUAUGGUGUGCAUGUUUCAGAUGAUGGUUUGGAGAGCAGGUAGUAUAUGGUGUGCAUGUUUCAGAUGAUGGUUUGGAGAGCAGGUAGUAUAUGGUGUGCAUGUUUCAGAUGAUGGUUUGGAGAGCAGGUAGUAUAUGGUGUGCAUGUUUCAGAUGAUGGUUUGGAGAGCAGGUAGUAUAUGGUGUGC
rnacentral:lncRNA from 1 species